ensembl:snRNA U6 U6 spliceosomal RNA
AUGCUCUCUUUGGUGGUAUAUAUGCUAAAAUGGGAACAAUACAGAGAAGAUUAGCGUGGCUUCAGUGAUGCUCAAUGAUGACACAAAAAUUCAUGAAGUGUUCCAUAUUAAA